UGCUUAACACAUGCAAGUCGAACGGUGAACCUUGGAGCUUGCUUCGAGGGGAUCAGUGGCGAACGGGUGAGUAACACGUGAGUAACCUGCCCCGGACUCUGGAAUAAGCGCUGGAAACGGCGUCUAAUACCGGAUACGAGACGCAACCGCAUGGUUAGCGUCUGGAAAGUUUUUCGGUCUGGGAUGGACUCGCGGCCUAUCAGCUUGUUGGUGAGGUAAUGGCUCACCAAGGCGACGACGGGUAGCCGGCCUGAGAGGGCGACCGGCCACACUGGGACUGAGACACGGCCCAU
rnacentral:rRNA from 1 species